rnacentral:rRNA from 1 species
GACAGAGGUGCCAAGCGUUAGGCGGAAUCACUGGGCUUAAAGCGUGUGUAGGCGGAUCGUUAAGUACCUUGUGAAAUCCCACGGCUCAACCGUGGAACUGCUCGGUAUACUGGCGGUCUUGAGCCACCUAGGGGCAACUGGAACAAACGGUGGAGCGGUGAAAUGCGUAGAUAUCGCUUGGAACGCCAACGGUGAAAACAGGUUGCUGGGGGUGUGCUGACGCUGAGACACGAAAGCCAGGGGAGCGAACGGG